CUGUCUCCUUCAGCUGCAAGACAACGAUCAGUGUACAACGUAUGUCUACUGGUACCCGGAAGGAGAAUGGAGAACAUUUUACCUUGAUUCUCGAGCUGGGAAUUAUUGAAAAAGAAAGUGUUUUGCACCACAGGAAGUGACAUUGUCAGAGGAACUGUUUGAGACGACACACUCCAGCUGGUUUUUCACCUCUCAUCUUCAUAAUCAACUAUAUGAUCCAAACCAUACUUCAGUAAAGAUCUGUUAAGUCAGUCUGAUGUUCAAUGUUAUUUAUAACUUGUAGCUUUUCAUUUCCCCAAUUCUUAAGCACAUAUUAAUUGAACAUGGACUGUGGUAUAAUAAUAUUCUCUCUUUUUCUGGUGGCUGCUUCAGGACAGUGGCUGCAACAAGAUCAGAUAUCAAAGACUAAGAGAGAGAAACAGAGUGUCACCUUCAGCUGCAAAGUUACUGGUUCGUGUUCCGGUGGCACAGUCCACUGGUACCAGAAGAGAGAGGGUGAAGCCUUCACUUGGAUUAAUGUUGAUGCCAAUUCUGGCAGCAGUGCUACCACUCAUCCUCAGGGAGCAGAUUUCAUUGUUUGGAGGGAGUCUGCGUCUCACCCCAGUGAGCUGAAGAUUAAGUUAGUUAAAGUGUCCCAUUCUGCCACCUAUUACUGUGCCUGCUGGGUCUUGGGAACCCACAGUGAGAACUGAUCCACACAGCCUGUACAAAAACUAAUGAAAAAGGUUUCUAUACCAGAAGUAAGUGACAUAAGAGGUUAGAGUGCAGUGUCUUCUUCAAAUCCAAAGUGAAAUGCAAU